CUGCUUGGGGACCCAGCAAGCUUCCAGGGCCUUUCUGCUGCUUUCUCUACCCCUGUAUUUCACUCGGCUCUCUAAAUUGACUCAGCUCUGGGACAGCCAGUAGAGGUGACUUCAUGUUUUCUGCGGAUCGUUUGGUUUUGCCUGAGGAUUUAUUCCAAAGAGCAUAGACAACUCCUGUUCUGCUUUUCAUCAUCAGACUUGUUGUGGAAGAGGGAUUGAAUCAGCUGCCAUAUAAAGAAUGCAUGGUGACCACUCCAACAGGGUACAAGUAUGAAGGAGUGAAAUUUGAGAAGGGAAAUUGUGGGGUCAGCAUAAUGAGAAGCGGUGAGGCAAUGGAACAAGGUUUACGAGACUGCUGUCGAUCCAUACGAAUUGGAAAGAUCCUGAUUCAGAGUGAUGAGGAGACACAAAGAGCCAAAGUAUAUUAUGCCAAAUUCCCCCCAGACAUUUACCGGAGAAAAGUCCUUCUGAUGUAUCCAAUUCUCAGCACUGGAAAUACUGUAAUUGAAGCUGUAAAGGUUCUUAUAGAACAUGGAGUUCAACCCAGUGUUAUCAUCCUACUCAGUCUGUUCUCCACUCCUCAUGGUGCCAAAUCAAUCAUUCAGGAGUUUCCAGAGAUCACAAUUUUAACUACUGAAGUUCAUCCUGUUGCACCUACACAUUUUGGACAGAAAUACUUUGGAACAGACUAAGUUAUUUAAGUAAAAUAAUUAUCUUGUGUAAUAUUAC
rnacentral:sRNA from 1 species